GCGGAGGAAAAGAAACUAACCAGGAUUGUCUCAGUAAGGGCGACUGAAGCGACAAUAGCCCCAUUGUGAAUCAGCGGCUGAAUUGUGGUUCCAUUAGUGCAAAGCAGGGCCAAGUCCGUUGGAACACGGCAGCUGAGAGGGUGAGACUCCCGUUUGCCUUUGCUUUGGAGCCGACGAAAUGGAGUCGAGUUGUUUGGGAUUGCAGCUCUAAGCGGGUGGUAAAUUCCACCGAAGGCUAAAUACUGGUGGGAGACCGAUAGCGUACAAGUACCGUGAGGGAAAGAUGCAAAGACACGCGAAAGCGUUGUUAAAGAGUACCUGAACUUGCUGAAACGGAAGCGAAGGAAACCAGUGCCAGCUGCGUCAUACUUCCCACCCUGCUUGCGGUGUGGGCGCUGUGUCCAGCGUCGUCCUUCUUGGUUGGUCGUUGUGGAAGAGCCCUGUGC
rnacentral:rRNA from 1 species